CGGCGACGCUGGCGGCGUGCUUACCAUGCCAGUCGAACGAUGAAGCCCUUCGGGGUGGAUUAGUGGCGAACGGGUGAGUAACACGUGGGCAAUCUGCCCUUCACUCUGGGACAAGCCCUGGAAACGGGGUCUAAUACCGGAUACGACCUGCCGAGGCAUCUCGGCGGGUGGAAAGCUCCGGCGGUGAAGGAUGAGCCCGCGGCCUAUCAGCUUGUUGGUGGGGUAAUGGCCUACCAAGGCGACGACGGGUAGCCGGCCUGAGAGGGCGACCGGCCACACUGGGACUGAGACACGGCCCAGACUCCUACGGGAGGCAGCAGUGGGGAAUAUUGCACAAUGGGCGCAAGCCUGAUGCAGCGACGCCGCGUGAGGGAUGACGGCCUUCGGGUUGUAAACCUCUUUCAG
rnacentral:rRNA from 1 species